rnacentral:misc_RNA from 1 species
AACGCACCUUGCGCUCCUUGGUAUUCCGAGGAGCAUGCCUGUUUGAGUGUCAUGGAAUUCUCAACUUCAUUUGCUUUUGUGAAUGAAGCUUGGACUUGGAGGUAUUGCUGGCCGUACGGUCGGCUCCUCUUGAAUUUAUUAGCUCGAGCCUUUGUGGAUCAGCUUCGGUGUGAUAAUUGUCUACGCCGUUCUGUGAAGCAUAACUAUGGGAUUCGGCUUCCAAUAGUCCUUCACUGGACAAUAUCUUUGACCUUUGACCUCAAAUCAGGUAGGAUUACCCGCUGAACUUAA